rnacentral:tRNA from 1 species
UAUAAGUAUACUGAUAUAGUACAUUAACUGUUUAAAUAAUGAAAAGAUUAAGAAGUUUUUUAUUU